UCUUUUGGUUAAGACAAGAGAGGACAUUGGAGACAAUCCCAGACUGGAAAUGCCAGCUGUAUCUUCAGUUUCCUCUUGGUUCCAUAUCACAGCAAAAUGAGGGUGUCCCCCUCCACACUGAAGUUCCAGCAAAGGCAGGAGAUACAGAAAAUCCAACUCUCAGAGAACAGAGCACAGUGACAAGGGAUUUGGAUGUGGCGUUUCCAGACCUGAAGAGCAAGAUCUGGCAGCUGGAAGAUACCCUGGAUGAGUUGAAUGAGGAGUUUGUUCAGCUCAGCACUCAGGCCCUGAAACUGCAGACAGGAGGGAAUGAGCAAGACCAAAUAUGGCACCAAUGGACCUUGGUCACGGAAGACAAACUAAACAAGAGAGAAGUAGAUGCGCCAGAGGGUAAGACGCUGGGCUCCAGUGCUUCAAGGAGUGACCAAGCCCUGCUUCUGGAGGUUAAGAGGACCCACUUGGUCCAGAGGAUUGAAGAUGUAGAAUGGGAACUGUCCCUCCUCCUUCAUAUUGCAGAACCCAGAAUGCAUGCAGCAGAAGGCCAACUGGAUCGCCAUGCCAGUUUAGACCGCCUUCCCUCACAUUAA
rnacentral:lncRNA from 1 species